rnacentral:hammerhead_ribozyme from 1 species
GUACUUCUGAGGAGUCCCAAAAUAGGACGAAACAGCUGUCCAGUGC